AUUGAACGCUGGCGGCAGGCCUAACACAUGCGAGUCGAGCGGAUGAAGGGAGCUUGCUCCUGGAUUCAGCGGCGGACGGGUGAGUAAUGCCUAGGAAUCUGCCUGGUAGUGGGGGAUAACGUCCGGAAACGGGCGCUGAUACCGCAUACGUCCUGAGGGAGAAAGUGGGGGAUCUUCGGACCUCACGCUAUCAGAUGAGCCUAGGUCGGAUUAGCUAGUUGGUGGGGUAAAGGCCUACCAAGGCGACGAUCCGUAACUGGUCUGAGAGGAUGAUCAGUCACACUGGAACUGAGACACGGUCCAGACUCCUACGGGAGGCAGCAGUGGGGAAUAUUGUACAUUGGGCGAAAGCCUGAUCCAGCCAUGCCGCGUGUGUGAAGAAGGUCUUCGGAUUUUAAAGCACUUUAAGUUGGGAGGAAGGGCAGUAAGUUAAUACCUUGCUGUUUUGACGUUACCAACAGAAUAAGCACCGGCUAACUUCGUG
rnacentral:rRNA from 1 species